rnacentral:rRNA from 1 species
CCUAAAAAUGCAAGUCGAACGGUAGCACAGAGAGCUUGCUCUCGGGUGACGAGUGGCGGACGGGUGAGUAAUGUCUGGGAAACUGCCUGAUGGAGGGGGAUAACUACUGGAAACGGUAGCUAAUACCGCAUAACGUCGCAAGACCAAAGAGGGGGACCUUCGGGCCUCUUGCCAUCAGAUGUGCCCAGAUGGGAUUAGCUAGUAGGUGGGGUAACGGCUCACCUAGGCGACGAUCCCUAGCUGGUCUGAGAGGAUGACCACCCACACUGGAACUGAGACACGGUCCAGACUCCUACGGGAGGCAGCAGUGGGGAAUAUUGCACAAUGGGCGCAAGCCUGAUGCAGCCAUGCCGCGUGUAUGAAGAAAGCCUUCGGGUUGUAAAGUACUUUCAGCGAGGAGGAAGGCGUUGAGGUUAAUAACCUCACCGAUUGACGUUACUCGCAGAAGAAGCACCGGCUAACUCCGUGCCAGCAGCCGCGGUAAUACGGAGGGUGCAAGCGUGAAUCGCAAUAACUGGGCGUAAAGCGCACGCAGGCGGUCUGU